GAGGCGAGGAUCCAGCUUCAGCAGCGCGAGACAGACCGCGUCCCGCGCCCCGCCAGGCAGCAGCCACUUCACAUAUCCCCGCAGUUCACCGUGGAGCUCCUUCUACCCCGGUACAGACGUUUUGGAUUUUCUUACUCCCUUAAGUCCAGAAAACAGCGAAUACUUUCCCAAUUCCCCAAAGGCUUUCCCCAAACUGCCUCCACCCUCGCCAACGCCUCACUAUGGACAGACUCCACAUGAAGUCACACUCACAGCUUUGGAGAGGGAGGGUGUAAACAAACAGGUAAACUGUGAGACACACGUGCCAACCUCUCACGUGAGCAGGAAACAGCAGUUAUUCUUGGACACACUGCUCACCGUAAUGUUGUGUUAUGUGCCACAACUCUAAAAUGUGUAAGGAUAAUGGAGCAAAGAGUUAGGUGCUGUAGUGAGACCGAACUUUAAUUUGACUUUAUUCCCGCCAUUUUACGGCACGCGUGCUUCUCUUUAGGAGCACCGUGAUGCUGUUAGAGGAUUUUAAAGUGCACUUCUACUCCUCAGUAACUGGUUUGGGACAGCCCACAAUAUGGUGAACCCUCCACAUGGAAGUGCAAACAGAGAUUUUACACAUCCAUAAGACAUCACUUUUGCUUAUUCAGGGUUCCCAUUUUUUUCAAGAGAUAAUUUUCCAGGACAUUUUCACUGAUGAUCUAGCUAGUAAGACAGAACUGGAUCACGUCAUACACUAAUUUGUUCCUCUCUGCGGAAGUCUGAUUUUAAAGACGUGCAACAGUUUAAAACAAGUUGAGAACAAAACAUUAAUCUAUGAACCUAAUAAAACUACCACAGUUACCAGCCAGCAGAGACUAAUAUUUACCUUUGGAGGAUAACGCAACUUGUAUUAUGUAGUGUUUCCCCACUAAUGUCACCCAACCAUAGCCAACCUGUGCUACCAUGUGACGUCCACAACACUGCCACAACAUAACCGAUCAACUGCAACAUGAUUUUUGAGGACAUUUUACUCUCUCAUUUUCCAUGUGUUUUCCAUGACUGAAUUGGUCAACUGUUUCUCCAGGUUUUCCAGGACGCGUGGGAACCCUUUUAUUACCUAGUUGUCUUUAAAAAGGAAAUUUCAAUAAAUAUUAUGCUUUCAAAAUGUCUGGUAGACAGGUUUUGAUUAAUAUAAUGGAGGUCGAUAAUUUCUGUUCCAAUACAGCCAACAGUUUAUAUUUUGUGUUCAAUAUCAUGAAAUCUCACUAUCUUCAUGACUUCCUACUGUGGGGUCAUGUGUGGGCGUUGCCAAUCUCUAUCCCUUGCAGGUGAAGAGCUGAGACUGAUUGCAGUAAUUCUGGGCAACUGGGCUAAUUGCCCUGUAGUGUAUUUGAUGAUGCUGCUGGGCUGAGGACACACAGCUGACUUUCUAGCCUCUGUUUUCCUUCACAUGUUCCACCUUUUGCCUUGUUUUCUGGACAUGCUGUUUUAGUUGUAGUUAUUGUUUCUUGCACACGUUUCCCAUGCAUCCAUCAUCCUGUCCUGACAUGACUGAAACCUCUGAUGUUCAUACCCUUUACGUUAUCACCAGCCUUAAUUUGGUUCAUUUUGGUUUAAAUAAACAUCUUGUUAAACUUC